rnacentral:lncRNA from 1 species
GAUGUCAUGCCCAGAGCUGUAGCGGUCAUCUUGUGACCAUAAGGGAAAGGCCAUAAAAAUAGCAGAUAUAUCUGGCCUACCAUCCUUCUGCUGCUGAACCAAUGCCAACAGGUGCUUGGAAUACAGAAGAGAAAUCUCUGUCCUUGUGAAGUUUAUAUUAGAGUGGGAAGAUAAAGACAAAGAAGAAAGACAACUUGAUAGAAAAAUGGACAAAAUGUUUAUGAACUGAUAUUUCCCAGAAGAACACCAAAUGGUCAAUAAACAUAUGUAAAGUUGACCACCAUCAUUUGUCAUAAACAAAAUGUAAAUUCAAACCACAGUGAAAUACCAACUCACAUCUAAUAGAUUGAUAAAGGAGCUUUCAUCCACCACAGGUGGACAUAUAAAUUGGUACAACUAUUUUGGUAAACAGUGUAUAUUAUCUGGUAAAGUUGAAGGUAUAGAUACCUUAUAACUCAGCAGUUCUAAUUUAACAUAUAUAUUCCCAAAAAAGUAUUGCACAUGUGUACUAGGAAGUACAUACAAUAAUAUGGUAGCAUUAUUUGCAAUAGCUUCAAACUGGAAAGAACCCAAAUAUCCAUUAACAGAGAAAUGAAUACAUUUUGGUUUAUUAACAUGGUGGAACAGUAUACAAUAAUGAGAAUGAAUGAACUAUGCAGCUACACACAACAUGGUUGAAUCUUACAAAUAUAAUUUUGAAUGAGUGAAUCCAGGUACAAAAUUAAAAAAAAUACUGCAUUCUUCCAUUUGUAUGUUGUUUAAAAACAGAUUAAAGUAAAUCAUAGUUUGAUAUGUGUAUAGAAAGAGUUAUGUUGAUAAUCUCAAAAAUCAGGUCAGUAGCUGAUUCUUAUCUUGGAGGCUUGCAAGUGAAGACUGAGUAUAAUCAUUUCUCUAUUUCAAUUAAUUAUAUGGUGACUACAUGGACGUUCCCUUUACAGUAGUUCUAUAAUCUAGAAAUUUUAUGCACUUUUCUAUAUGCCGUGUAGAAAAAUAUAAGCUCAUUAAAGUACUUUGAGGGAAAAGGAUUGCUUUGAGAUUGUUUGGGCAGGUUUAAAAAUGUUCUAUUUUUUUUAAAAAAGUUCUGUUUUUGGGCAAGGCGCAGUGGCUCAUGCCUGUAAUCCAAGCACUUUGGGAGGCCGAGGCGGGCGGAUCAUGAGGUCAGGAGAUCGAGACCAUCCUGGCUAACAUGGUGAAACCCCGUCUCUACCAAAAAAACAAAAAAAAAAAUUAGCCGGGCAUGGUGGCAGGCGCCUGUAAUCCCAGCUACUCGGGAGGCUGAGGCAGAAGAAUCGGCUUCAACUGGAGAGGCAGAGGUUGCAGUGAGCCGAGAUCGCGCCACUGAACUCCAGCCUGCGUGACAGAGCGAGACUCCUUCUCAAACAAACAAAAAAA